AGUGAACGCUGGCGGUAUGCCUAACACAUGCAAGUCGAACGGCAGCACAGUAAGAGCUUGCUCUUACGGGUGGCGAGUGGCGGACGGGUGAGGAAUACAUCGGAAUCUACUUUUUCGUGGGGGAUAACGGAGGGAAACUUACGCUAAUACCGCAUACGACCUACGGGUGAAAGCAGGGGAUCUUCGGACCUUGCGCGAUUGAGUGAGCCGAUGUCGGAUUAGCUAGUUGGCGGGGUAAAGGCCCACCAAGGCGAGGAUCCGUAGCUGGUCUGAGAGGAUGAUCGGCCACACUGGAACUGAGACACGGUCCAGACUCCUACGGGAGGCAGCAGUGGGGAAUAUUGGACAAUGGGCGCAAGCCUGAUCCAGCCAUGCCGCGUGGGUGAAGAAGGCCUUCGGGUUGUAAAGCUCUUUUGUUGGGAAAGAAAAGCAGCAGGUUAAUACCCCGCUGUUCUGACGGUACCCAAAGAAUAAGCACCGGCUAACUUCGUG
rnacentral:rRNA from 1 species